rnacentral:lncRNA from 11 species
GUGAAUUCAAAAGGCCCCUCCCUAAACUGCAAGUCCUAGAAUUCUAUAGGAUGGAAUCUUGAUAUUUAAAGUGCAAUCAUACAGCUGUAAAUGUGAAAGGACCUUUGAAGCUGAGUUCUGCAAAGCACUGUGUCUGACCUUAGGCUGGUUGCUCACAUGGAGGGGAAUUCCCAACUUCAGUCUCAAAAAUGUGUUCCUGACCAGAGCAAGGAUGCUGCAGAGCUUCAUCCAAGACUUCAGGAAGUUCCUGUCAUGAAUCUGAAGGUUCCUGCCACAGUUCAAGAGACUGCAAGAAUAGAUCAGGUAGUUCCUGCCUCAGUUCCAGAAGUUCCUGCCACAGAGGUGCGGGUUGCUGUCACAGAUCGGGAGGUUCCUGGCAUCACUGUAGAUCUUCCAGCUGCAGUCCCAAGAUUGAGAUCAGCCAUGAAUGAGGCCUCUCCCCAGAUUCAAGUGCCUCAUUCAUUCAUCUCUCCUGGUCCUUGUGCUCAACAGCUAUGCAAGCAGCCAAGCCAGUUCCUGCCUCCAGAUUGUAAAUAAAAGAUUGAAAAUUGCAAGAAGAAUGCUUUCAACUUCUUCAAAUGUGGCUUCGCAACAGUUAUGUGUCCACAGAUACCUGGACAUGAGCUGUCACCUUGAGGUUCUUCAAAUGACUUCUAUCUGCCAGUGCUUUGCUUCUAGCCCUAAGGAAUGAAAUAGGAUUCAUUAUCUACUGUGUGACCAUGUAAUUGUCCUCACUUUGUACAUGACCUUGUUAGCAUCUUAAUUAAUAAAACAAGCAUUCAAAGGAAGAGCCAUCU